CAUCCUCCAAGGCUAAAUACUCCUGACUGACCGAUAGUGAACCAGUACCGUGAGGGAAAGGCGAAAAGAACCCCGGCGAGGGGAGUGAAAAAGAACCUGAAACCGUGUACGUACAAGCAGUGGGAGCACCCUUUUGGGUGUGACUGCGUACCUUUUGUAUAAUGGGUCAGCGACUUAUAUUCUGUAGCAAGGUUAACCGCAUAGGGGAGCCGGAGGGAAACCGAGUCUUAAUUGGGCGUUAAGUUGCAGGGUAUAGACCCGAAACCCGGUGAUCUAGCCAUGGGCAGGUUGAAGGUUGGGUAACACUAACUGGAGGACCGAACCGAC
rnacentral:rRNA from 1 species